rnacentral:lncRNA from 1 species
UUCCUCCUUUAGCUGCUGAUUCAUCGAAGAGAAAUACGAGGUGUGUACUAAACUUUCUUUCUUUGUUUUGUUACAUAUGUACAGUAAAAUCCAUCAAGUUUAUAGAAGUAAUAUCUUCUAUUUCAAAACAAACUUGUUAUUUUUCUUGUUUUUAACGUUUUGGAUUGUAUGUGAUCAUGUACUGGUUCUUCUGAAAUAUAAAUUACUUACUCAUAGAGCUUCUUCUUCUUAAUAUUGCUCAAUUCUUUAACAAACAUCUAUUCCCCCGUUUUGUAUUAAUUGACUUUCUUUCUAAAAGUGUUUGUUUCCAUUUAGUUGUCCAAGUUUUAAAAUCAAGAGUAUUUUAUACAUAUAUUUUUCAUUUUACCGUUGACAGGAAUACUAAAUACAUCCACAGUGUUCAAAAUUAUUGAAUGAUGCAUAAAUGAUCUCAGUUCUUAAAACCAAAAUUAAAUAAUUAUUACUAGUUUUAAUUAUAAAUACUCAAUGUUCUAGACGUAAUGCAUUAGAUGGAGUAAUAUGUAUCAAAUUUUAAUGUUUAAUCAUUGGAUUGAUUAUUUCAAUUUUAAAGGCAUAUAAGAGUAAAUAUGUAAAAUGCAUUUCUAUUUAUUGGUUUCUUAAUAGGUACUCCCUCCAUUCCAUUUUACUCGUUCCAAAUUGGAAUGACACAGCUAUUAAGAAAAUGUAACUUUAUCAUUUUGCCCCUCUUAAUUGUGUCUUGUUGUUAGUUCCAAUAUUGAUGGACAACUAAUACCAAAGCACUAUUUAUAUUUUUAAUGGUACUCCUCUUUGCAAUAUUUUUCAAGAAUGCUAAUAAUAAGGAGUAAUCAAUUACACUAAUGGUAUAAUGGAAAUUUUUUUUUGCUUGUCUUGAUAAGUAAAAUAGGACAGGUAAAAUGAGACAUCAAAUUGAGAAAUUUGGAACGAAUAAAAUGGGACGGAGGAAGUAUAUCAAAUCCAUAGGCGUCAUCUAAUACGAAAGGGAGCGAGUAAUAAAUAGGUAAUGAAAACAUACUUAUUUUUGGACGGAGGGAGUAGCAGUCAUGGAAUUCAAUGGGUCCAAAAUUGAAUAGAUGGGAAUGGUCCAAAAACUUUAUAAUGUAGUUCUAACUUCUUUACUUAUUUGUCAACAGCAUAGCAUCAAGAAGUUGCAAAUUUAUUUGUUUUAUGGGAAAAGGAAUGCUUCUACUCCAUUAUCUAACGGAUAUUUCUUGGUGCAUUGCCUUGUUCAUGCUUCCAGGAUUUUCGAAUUUCGAAGUUCUUAUCACAUUAGUUGUGCCUGAAGAUCGAGGACAACACCAAUUUACCAGUGAGCUCAGUAUCUCCUGUUAGAAAAGACUCACUAGGAAAAAAACUAGAUAUCAGCAGUAUGACCAAAGAGCACAGAGUUGUUUCCUAU